GCGGGGCCGGGGAAGGCGCGAAGAAGUCGGGAGGAGGCGCGCGUGCGGGCGGCAGUCUGCGGAACCUCGUAUUUCCGUAUUGUUGCGUGUGUUGUUACUGGGGGAACUAUUGCUGCCAUUAUCAUCUCGCCAAAAAGAGUGGAUGCGGUUGUUUUUAAUUCAUCCAGUGUUGUGGGGUCCGCCCUCUCCAAAGCAUCGCUGCUCCUCUGCCCGCCUCAACAGCCCGGGGAAGAGCCCUUCUCUCCUGAGGCUCGGUCCCAGCUGACAGCAUGGAGCACUGGCUCACACAUCCUGCCUCAUCCCGGCUCACACGUGGGAACAACGGGUCUGGGGAAACACGCUUGCCAUCUUCAAAGACUACCAUCAGCACCUUGGCUAGACCGGUGUGAUCAGCAGUUUCUGUCCCAUCGUCCACAAGGUGUAGUUUUUCUUUAGAACGCCAGGCAAAGGAAGGGGAAGCAACUCUGCAAAAGACAACCCAAAAGGUGUGACCCCUGUUACAUAGGAAUUGUAUUUACCACUGUUGGAGCGGAAGUUAUAGAUAACAGGGAAAGAGGCCAGAGUGAUCCGUGUGGUGAUGGAUUAAAGCUUGAGCCACUGGUAUAAGACCAUGUGUAGCUCAACAUAGAGAUCAGUACGCAUAGAAUUGUUGACAAGCAUGCUGCAUUAGUCACCUUUCCACUGCUGUGACAGAAC
rnacentral:lncRNA from 1 species